GUGUGGGUUGAGAGGGAGGAAGGGUAGCAUUCUCAUAGAGAAGGAUAAAAUGGUACAUAAUUCAAGAUCACAGGCAGCUUAAUCACAUAAAUAUAAAUAGAGACAACCCAUUUUAUUUGUUGGCUUUUGCUUUUGUAUUUUUAU
ensembl:snRNA U6atac minor spliceosomal RNA